CCUACGGGAGGCAGCAGUGAGGAAUAUUGGUCAAUGGACGAGAGUCUGAACCAGCCAAGUAGCGUGAAGGAUGACUGCCCUAUGGGUUGUAAACUUCUUUUAUAUGGGAAUAAAAUGUUCCACGUGUGGGAUUUUGUAUGUACCAUAUGAAUAAGGAUCGGCUAACUCCGUGCCAGCAGCCGCGGUAAUACGGAGGAUCCGAGCGUUAUCCGGAUUUAUUGGGUUUAAAGGGGGCGUAGGUGGAUUGUUAAGUCAGUUGUGAAAGUUUGCGGCUCAACCGUAGAAGUGCAGUUGAAACUGGCAGUCUUGAGUACAGUAGAGGUGGGCGGAAUGCGUGGUGUAGCGGUGAAAUGCUUAGAUAUCACGAAGAACUCCGAUUGCGAAGGCAGUUCACUGGACUGCAACUGACACUGAGGCUCGAAAGUGUGGGUAUCAAACAGGAUUAGAUACCCCUGUAGUC
rnacentral:rRNA from 1 species